rnacentral:lncRNA from 1 species
AUGGAUGAAACCAAGGAAGACGUUGUUAGUUCAAGAGGGAAAGGACCAUGGAGCUGGAAGGUACAGCCAUGGCUUGUCUGCAGCUCCAGAUGUCUGAGGUGCCAGCUGGGAUAUGGGAGCAUCAGACCAAAGCUUCUGAGCCAGCUUGGUUUGGGUGCUUCACAGAAUCAUUCAGGAAAAGACUUCCAGCCCAUGGAAUCUCAGCUGUGCCCAAUCCCCACCUUGUCCCCAGCCCAGAGCAUUCAGUGCCAUGUCCAGGCCUUCCUUGGACACCUGCAGGGAUGGGCACUCCAAACCUCCCUGGCCAGCCCCUGCCAAUGCUUGACAACCCUUUUUGUGAAGAAACUCCUGCUGUCCAACCUGAACCUCCCCUGGCACAGCUUGAGCCUAUAUCACUACCCCAUAUUAAAUACUUUAUUUCAGCUGCAGCUGCACAACUUCAGACUGAGUGGCCUCAUUACCUUUGGGCUUCCUUCUGCUGGGGUUCUGCAUCAUCUGUUUAAAAAACACUGCACUUAAUAUCUUUAUAUUGUUACACCUUAUAUUUUGCACCAUGUCUGGUAUUCAGUCUUGUUGAGAGUUUAAAACUGCUGGUGUUUUGAUUAAUAUUCUCCCCUUCCACAGAAUGGAUUUUAAAAGAUGCAAAAUUGACAAUAAAUUCUUGUGGCUCAUGAGAUUGACUCA